rnacentral:lncRNA from 1 species
GAAGAUGUUAAUAGGCUAACAAGUGAGUUAUCAGAUUAUUUGAGUAGUGAUUCAGAUCUUGGAGAUAUUUCUUCAGAAGAUAGCUCAGAUAUUGAUGAGGAGUUGAGGGCUUUUAGACAAGAAAGAAGGGAAAAAAGAGCCAACAACAAAGAAAGAAACAAAAAAGCAAGAAAAAAGGUUGUUGAAACUGAAGAAGUACCCGUGGGAGUUGUUGG